AUCCAGCUGACGAGUUCCAAAUAGGAUGAAACGCUCGUCCUGGAU
rnacentral:hammerhead_ribozyme from 1 species